rnacentral:rRNA from 1 species
UAUACGACCGUACCGCAAACCGACACUGGUGCGCGAGAUGAGUAUUCUAAGGCGCUUGAGAGAACUCAGGAGAAGGAACUCGGCAAAUUGACACCGUAACUUCGGAAGAAGGUGUGCCCUAUUAGUGUGUAGUGAACAACGAAGCAUGAAUGGGUUGCAAAAAAUCGGUGGCUGCGACUGUUUAUUAAAAACACAGCACUCUGCAAACACGAAAGUGGACGUAUAGGGUGUGACGCCUGCCCGGUGCUGGAAGAUUAAAUGAUGGGGUGCAAGCUCUUGAUUGAAGUCCCAGUAAACGGCGGCCGUAACUAUAACGGUCCUAAGGUAGCGAAAUUCCUUGUCGGGUAAGUUCCGACCUGCACGAAUGGCGUAACGAUGGCCACACUGUCUCCUCCUGAGACUCAGCGAAGUUGAAAUGUUUGUGAUGAUGCAAUCUCCCCGCGGAAAGACGGAAAGACCCCAUGAACCUUUACUGUAGCUUUGUAUUGGACUUUGAACAGAUCUGUGUAGGAUAGGUGGGAGGCUUUGAAGCAGGGUCGCUAGAUCUUGUGGAGCCAACGUUGAAAUACCACCCUGGUGUGUUUGAGGUUCUAACCUAGGUCCAUUAUCUGGAUCGGGGACAGUGCAUGGUAGGCAGUUUGACUGGGGCGGUCUCCUCCCAAAGCGUAACGGAGGAGUUCGAAGGUACGCUAGUUACGGUCGGACAUCGUGACGAUAGUGCAAUGGCAUAAGCGUGCUUAACUGCGAGACUGACAAGUCGAGCAGAUGCGAAAGCAGGACAUAGUGAUCCGGUGGUUCUGUAUGGAAGGGCCAUCGCUCAACGGAUAAAAGGUACUCUGGAUAACAGGCUGAUACCGCCCAAGAGUUCAUAUCGACGGCGGUGUUUGGCACCUCGAUGUCGGCUCAUCUCAUCCUGGGGCUGUAGCCGGUCCCAAGGGUAUGGCUGUUCGCCAUUUAAAGAGGUACGUGAGCUGGGUUUAAAACGUCGUGAGACAGUUUGGUCCCUAUCUUCCGUGGGCGCUGCAGAUUUGAGGAAGCCUGCUCCUAGUACGAGAGGACCGGAGUGGACACACCUCUGGUGUAUCGGUUGUCACGCCAGUGGCAUUGCCGAGUAGCUAAGUGUGGAAGAGAUAACCGCUGAAAGCAUCUAAGCGGGAAACUCGUUUCAAGAUGAGAUCUGCCGGGGCCUUGAGCCCCCUAAAGAGUCGUUCAAGACCAGGACGUUGAUAGGUCAGGUGUGGAAGCGAAAAAA